AAAAGCAGCAAUGAUGAUAUUAAGCUCCCUCUUCUGAUCCCAGUGAGGAGAAUGCUGGCAUGAAUCGAACCUAAUUUACAGCCAACUCUGAGCUG
rfam:Picea glauca, whole genome shotgun sequence.